AGAAAAUUUUUGAAAAGAAAUUGUAUAAACCUAAAAAAGAAAUACCAAAUUAAGAUGGGAAAUAAGAACGGUAAAUCUCUAGCUCUUGAAGAUGAGAAGUUCAUGGCGAGUAGAUUUCUUAAUUGUAUGCAAUACAUGCCGAAGUGGAAGAAAAAGUAUGGAGUACAAGGAAACUUCACAAAGAGAUGAGAACAAAUUCAAGAGAAAACAUAGAAAGAUGAAAACUGAUGAGGUCACAAGUGUUUGUCAGACCAGAACACAAUAAGGCCCCAGUGCGCUGGUGCAAGGCCGCAGCUCAAGCAAAGGGGCAAGAGGCGCUUCCGCUCCUAUGCAAAUCAUGUAUCCAAAUUUAAAGGACCUGCAGCCUCCCCCAUAUGACAGCAAAGCAUUGUCAGAUUAU